rnacentral:rRNA from 1 species
UAAUACGAAGGGUGCAAGCGUUAAUCGGAAUUACUGGGCGUAAAGCGCACGCAGGCGGUUUGUUAAGUCAGAUGUGAAAUCCCCGGGCUCAACCUGGGAACUGCAUUUGAAACUGGCAAGCUAGAGUCUCGUAGAGGGGGGUAGAAUUCCAGGUGUAGCGGUGAAAUGCGUAGAGAUCUGGAGGAAUACCGGUGGCGAAGGCGGCCCCCUGGACGAAGACUGACGCUCAGGUGCGAAAGCGUGGGGAGCAAACAGGAUUAGAUACCCUGGUAGUCCACGCUGUAAACGAUGUCGAUUUGGAGGUUGUGCCCUUGAGGCGUGGCUUCCGGAGCUAACGCAUUAAGCUUCCCGCCUGGGGAGUACGGUCGCAAGAUUA